rnacentral:tRNA from 1 species
GCGGGAAUGGCGGAAUUGGUAGACGCGCUGGUCUCAAACACCAGUGAUUUCACGAUCGUGCGGGUUCAACUCCCGCUUCCCGCA